AACGAACGCUGGCGGCAGGCUUAACACAUGCAAGUCGAGCGCCCCGCAAGGGGAGCGGCAGACGGGUGAGUAACGCGUGGGAAUCUACCCAUCUCUACGGAAUAACGCAUGGAAACGUGUGCUAAUACCGUAUACGUCAUUCGGGAGGAAGAUUUAUCGGAGAUGGAUGAGCCCGCGUUGGAUUAGCUAGUUGGUGGGGUAAAGGCCUACCAAGGCGACGAUCCAUAGCUGGUCUGAGAGGAUGAUCAGCCACACUGGGACUGAGACACGGCCCAGACUCCUACGGGAGGCAGCAGUGGGGAAUAUUGGACAAUGGGCGCAAGCCUGAUCCAGCCAUGCCGCGUGAGUGAUGAAGGCCCUAGGGUUGUAAAGCUCUUUCACCGGUGAAGAUAAUGACGGUAACCGGAGAAGAAGCCCCGGCUAACUUCGUGCCAGCCGCCGCCGUAAUAC
rnacentral:rRNA from 1 species